GAUGCAGUGUACCCGCGGCAAGACGGAAAGACCCCGUGAACCUUUACUAUAGCUUGACACUGAACAUUGAGCCUUGAUGUGUAGGAUAGGUGGGAGGCUUUGAAGUGUGGACGCCAGUCUGCAUGGAGCCGACCUUGAAAUACCACCCUUUAAUGUUUGAUGUUCUAACGUGGACCCGUAAUCCGGGUUGCGGACAGUGUCUGGUGGGUAGUUUGACUGGGGCGGUCUCCUCCUAAAGAGUAACGGAGGAGCACGAAGGUUGGCUAAUCCUGGUCGGACAUCAGGAGGUUAGUGCAAUGGCAUAAGCCAGCUUGACUGCGAGCGUGACGGCGCGAGCAGGUGCGAAAGCAGGUCAUAGUGAUCCGGUGGUUCUGAAUGGAAGGGCCAUCGCUCAACGGAUAAAAGGUACUCCGGGGAUAACAGGCUGAUACCGCCCAAGAGUUCAUAUCGACGGCGGUGUUUGGCACCUCGAUGUCGGCUCAUCACAUCCUGGGGCUGAAGUAGGUCCCAAGGGUAUGGCUGUUCGCCAUUUAAAGUGGUACGCGAGCUGGGUUUAGAACGUCGUGAGACAGUUCGGUCCCUAUCUGCCGUGGGCGCUGGAGAACUGAGGGGGGCUGCUCCUAGUACGAGAGGACCGGAGUGGACGCAUCACUGGUGUUCGGGUUGUCAUGCCAAUGGCACUGCCCGGUAGCUAAAUGCGGAAGAGAUAAGUGCUGAAAGCAUCUAAGCACGAAACUUGCCCCGAGAUGAGUUC
rnacentral:rRNA from 1 species